rnacentral:rRNA from 1 species
AAUCAACGCUGGCGGCGUGCCUCAGACAUGCAAGUCGAACGAUUAAAGCUCUCUUCGGAGAGUGUAUAGAGUGGCGCACGGGUGAGUAACACGUAAGUAAUCUACCUUUGAGUGGGGAAUAACAGUCGGAAACGGCUGCUAAUACCGCAUAAUGCAGCGGCAUCGCAAGAUGACAGUUGUUAAAGGAGCAAUCCGCUUAAAGAGGAGCUUGCGGCAGAUUAGCUUGUUGGUAAGGUAACGGCUUACCAAGGCUACGAUCUGUAUCCGGUCUAAGAGGACGGUCGGACACACUGACACUGAAUAACGGGUCAGACUCCUACGGGAGGCAGCAGUCGGGAAUUUUGGGCAAUGGGCGAAAGCCUGACCCAGCAACGCCGCGUGAAGGAUGAAGUAUUUCGGUAUGUAAACUU